GCGGCUGUAGCUCAGUGGAUAGAGUAUUGAAGCCAAGGGUCGUGGGUUCGAUCCCCGCCAGCCGCGCCA
rnacentral:tRNA from 1 species